rnacentral:rRNA from 1 species
AGCAGCCGCGGUAAUUCCAGCUCCAAUAGCGUAUAUUAAAGUUGUUGCAGUUAAAAAGCUCGUAGUUGAAUUUCGGGAUCAGUACGCUGGUCGUGCCUCUGGUAUGUACUGGUGUCACUGAUUCCUCCCUUCUGACGAACCAUCAUGCCAUUCACUUGGUGUGGUGGGAAAUCAGGACUGUUACUUUGAAAAAUUAGAGUGUUUAAAGCAGGCUCACGCUUGAAUACAUUAGCAUGGAAUAAUGAAAUAGGACGUUGAUCUUAUUUUGUUGGUUUCUAGGAUUGACGUAAUGAUUAAUAGGGAUAGUUGGGGGCAUUAGUAUUCAAUUGUCAGAGGUGAAAUUCUUGGAUUUAUUGAAGACUAACUACUGCGAAAGCAUUUGCCAAGGAUGUUUUCAUUAAUCAAGAACGAAAGUUAGGGGAUCGAAGACGAUCAGAUACCGUCGUAGUC